AUUGAACGCUGGCGGCAGGCCUAACACAUGCAAGUCGAACGAGUGGCGGAAGGGUGAGUAAUGUCAGGGAAACUGCCUGAUGGAGGGGGAUAACUACUGGAAACGGUAGCUAAUACCGCAUACCAUGAGAUGUGCCCAGAUGGGAUUAGAUAGUUGGUGGGGUAAAGGUCCACCAAGGCGACGAUCCCGAGCUGGUCUGAGAUGAAGACCAGCCACACUGGAACUGAGACACGGUCCAGACUCCUACGGGAGGCAGCAUUGGGGAAUAUUGCACAAUGGGCGCAAGCCUGAUGCAGCCAUGCCUCGUGUAUGAAGAAGGCCUUCGGGUUGUAAAGUACUUUCAGCGGGGAGGCGUUACCCGCAGAAGAAGCACCGGCUAACUCCGUGCCAGCAGCCGCGGUAAUUC
rnacentral:rRNA from 1 species